CCUACGGGAGACAGCAGUGGGGAAUAUUGGUCAAUGGCCGGAAGGCUGAACCAGCCAUGCCGCGUGAGGUUCAGUGCCCUAUGGGCGUUAAACUUCUUUUGUGCGGGAGCAAUAAUGGUCACGUGUGUCCAGACGAGAGUACCGUCCAAAUAAGCAUCGGCUAACUCCGUGCCAGCAGCAGCGGUAAUACGUAGGGUGCGAGCGUUAUCCGGAGUUACUGGGUGGAAAGGGAGCGUAGACGGCGGGGUAAGGCUGAAGUGGAAGCCCGCGGCCAAACCGCGGAACUGCUUUGGGAACGUUUCUGCUGGAGUAUGGGAGGGGUAAGCGGAAUUCCUGGUGUAGCGGUGAAAUGCGUAGAUAUCAGGAGGAACACCGGUGGCGAAGGCGGCUUACUGGACAGCAACUGACGCUGAGGCGCGAAAGCGUGGGGAGCAAACAGGAUUAGAUACCCUUGUAGUC
rnacentral:rRNA from 1 species